AGAGUUUGAUCCUGGCUCAGGACGAACGCUGGCGGCGCGCCUAACACAUGCAAGUCGAACGGAGCUUAGAGAGCUUGCUUUUUAAGCUUAGUGGCGAACGGGUGAGUAACGCGUGAGUAACCUGCCCUAGAGUGGGGGGACAACAGUUGGAAACGACUGCUAAUACCGCAUAAGCCCACGGUAUCGCAUGAUACUGAGGGAAAAGGAUUUAUUCGCUUUAGGAUGGACUCGCGUCCAAUUAGCUAGUUGGUGAGGUAACGGCCCACCAAGGCGACGAUUGGUAGCCGGACUGAGAGGUUGAACGGCCACAUUGGGACUGAGACACGGCCCAGACUCCUACGGGAGGCAGCAGUGGGGGAUAUUGCACAAUGGGGGAAACCCUGAUGCAGCGACGCCGCGUGGAGGAAGAAGGUCUUCGGAUUGUAAACUCCUGUUGUUGAGGAAGAUAAUGACGGUACUCAACAAGGAAGUGACGGCUAACUACGUGCCAGCAGCCGCGGUAAAACGUAGGUCACAAGCGUUGUCCGGAAUUACUGGGUGUAAAGGGAGCGCAGGCGGGAAGACAAGUUGGAAGUGAAAUCCAUGGGCUCAACCCAUGAACUGCUUUCAAAACUGUUUUUCUUGAGUAGUGCAGAGGUAGGCGGAAUUCCCGGUGUAGCGGUGGAAUGCGUAGAUAUCGGGAGGAACACCAGUGGCGAAGGCGGCCUACUGGGCACCAACUGACGCUGAGGCUCGAAAGUGUGGGUAGCAAACAGGAUUAGAUACCCUGGUAGUCCACACCGUAAACGAUGAUUACUAGGUGUUGGAGGAUUGACCCCUUCAGUGCCGCAGUUAACACAAUAAGUAAUCCACCUGGGGAGUACGACCGCAAGGUUGAAACUCAA
rnacentral:rRNA from 1 species